UGGGGAAUAUUGGACAAUGGGGGAAACCCUGAUCCAGCAACGCCGCGUGGAGGAUGAAGGUCUUCGGAUUGUAAACUCCUGUUAGAGGGGACGAAGGAACGCCGGUGAAUAUCCGGCGGACUUGACGGUACCCUCAGAGGAAGCCCCGGCUAACUCUGUGCCAGCAGCCGCGGUAAUACAGAGGGGGCAAGCGUUAUUCGGAAUUAUUGGGCGUAAAGGGCGCGUAGGCGGCCGUGUAAGUCUCGGGUGAAAUCCCUCGGCUCAACCGAGGAACUGCCUUGGAUACUGCAUGGCUUGAGGCCGGGAGAGGGUAGUGGAAUUCCCAGUGUAGCGGUGAAAUGCGUAGAUAUUGGGAGGAACACCGGUGGCGAAGGCGGCUACCUGGACCGGUUCUGACGCUGAUGCGCGAAAGCGUGGGGAGCAAACAGGAUUAGAUACCCUGGUAGUCCACGCUGUAAACGAUGGGUGCUCGGUGUCGCGGGUAUCGACCCCUGCGGUGCCUUAGCUAACGCGUUAAGCACCCCG
rnacentral:rRNA from 1 species